UACAGAGGGUGCGAGCGUUAAUCGGAAUUACUGGGCGUAAAGCGCGCGUAGGCGGCUUUGCAAGUCGGGUGUGAAAUCCCCAGGCUUAACCUGGGAACUGCAUUCGAGACUGCAUUGCUAGAGUAUGGGGAGAGGGAAGUGGAAUUUCCGGUGUAGCGGUGAAAUGCGUAGAUAUCGGAAAGAACAUCAGUGGCGAAAGCGACUUCCUGGACCAAUACUGACGCUCAUGUGCGAAAGCGUGGGGAGCAAACAGG
rnacentral:rRNA from 1 species